GUGAGGGGUAUUGGUCAAUGGGCGGAAGCCUGAACCAGCCAUGCCGCGUGCGGGAGGAAGGCCCUACGGGUUGUAAACCGCUUUUCCGGGGGAAGAAUAAGCCCGAUGCGUCGGGUGAUGCCGGUACCCCGGGAAUAAGGAUCGGCUAACUCCGUGCCAGCAGCCGCGGUAAUACGGAGGAUCCGAGCGUUAUCCGGAUUUACUGGGUUUAAAGGGUGCGUAGGCGGCCCGGGCAAGUCAGCGGUGAAAUGAGGCGGCUCAACCGUUUCGCUGCCGUUGAUACUGCGGGGCUUGGAUACGGUCGGGGCGGGUGGAAUUCGUGGUGUAGCGGUGAAAUGCAUAGAUAUCACGAGGAACGCCGGUAGCGAAGGCAGCUCGCCGGGCCGAGAUCGACGCUGAGGCACGAAAGCGUGGGGAUCAAACAGGAUUAGAUACCCUAGUAGUCC
rnacentral:rRNA from 1 species